rnacentral:rRNA from 1 species
GGAAGACUUCCACAAUGGACGCAAGUCUGAUGGAGCAACGCCGCGUGAGUGAAGAAGGUUUUCGGACCGUAAAGCUCUGUUGUUGGUGAAGAAGGAUAGAGGUAGUAACUGGCCUUUAUUUGACGGUAAUCAACCAGAAAGUCACGGCUAACUACGUGCCAGCAGCCGCGGUAAUACGUAGGUGGCAAGCGUUGUCCGGAUUUAUUGGGCGUAAAGCGAGCGCAGGCGGAAGAAUAAGUCUGAUGUGAAAGCCCUCGGCUUAACCGAGGAAUUGCAUCGGAAACUGUUUUCUUGAGUGCAGAAGAGGAGAGUAGAACUCCAUGUGUAGCGGUGGAAUGCGUAGAUAUAUGGAAGAAUACCAGUGGCGAAGGCGGCUCUCUGGUCUGCAACUGACGCUGAGGCUCGAAAGCAUGGGUAGCGAACAGGAUUAGAUACCCUGGUAGUCCAUGCCGUAAACGAUGAGUGCUAAGUGUUGGGAGGCUUCCGCCUCUCAGUGCUGCAGCUAACGCAUUAAGCACUCCGCCUGGGGAGUACGACCGCAAGGUUGAA